GUGACAAGAUGUCGCGUAGAGUAAAACUUUGAGGUGUGGGAGAAACUUCGACGAAUAUACGGGUCUCUGAAAAGAAGAAACAAGAUGGCGCUGAAGUGAAGCUUCGAGGUGUUAACACAAACUUCGACAAUUACACGUUGGAUCAUCAAGGAUAGGAAGACUAGCUGAAUCUAUAAGUGUUAGUUUUAGAUGUUAUUUAGUAAAAUUACACCAGCGAAAACAAUUUCCUUUGAAUUGAUUUAGCACCUGUGUAAUUUUACUAAAUGCUUAUUCACCACAGAUUGGGUGGACUCUGGUUGAUAUUUGCCUCAAAUAUUGGCUGAUCUUCACUUUGUCUUGGUGAAUAAUCCUUAAUUAUUAAAUUUAUCUACAUAUAAUGCUUUGUUGUAUGUAGAUUUGUUUUCACCACUUUAAGAAUUAGACCUUAUAAUAUCAAUGGUUGUGCAAGCUUUUUGUUACAAAUGAAAAGUGACCACAACUUUUGAAUUUUCUUACAAUUUGCUAAAUGCUGGUAACUUAUGCACAUAUACUGUCUCCUUUGGACCUGAUGACUGGCUGGCUGGGAUCAACUCUACAUAUUAUGAUAUAUAUUUGAUAUAUUCUUUUAUUGCAUUUGACUAAUAUUUAUUGAGUUUGAUUUUUUGUCUCACAUUGAAUGAUUUAUUUUACAUUUGAUUGAUUAUUGAUGUACAUGAAAAAGUUUCUUUCAAAAUAUUGUGUAUUAUAUUUAAACUACUUCUAAUUUUUUCCUCAAGGCAAGUGUUAUUAUGAUACAUUGUAAAAUAUAUUUUGCAUUUAGUUUGGAGGUUUUCCAUUACUCUAAGACUUUUGCUUUAUUUUUUCCAUGCCUGAUUUGGCUUUCACAUCAAAUUUGGCAAAUUGCCAGGAUUGCAAUAUUUAGAAAAAAGCUUUUUCCUAAGUAAUUAUUUCAUUGUUUGACAUGUUUUCGGUCUGUACAGUAUGCUCUCACUGUACUAAAACAUUCUGUGAUUCCAAAUGUCUUUUUUAAAGAAUUAAAGUGAAAAAAAUAAGACAAUCUUUUUUGGGCUUUCAAUUUGGUUUAUUAAUUUUCUUAGUUGUUCUGCUACUAUAGUUAGUGAGAGGAUACUGUACACAUCAUGAUGAUUGUUAUUUUCAUUGAUGUAUUACAAGAUACAGUAGAACUCACUAUCUUGUCCUUGUCAUCCUUAUAUACUGAUUGAGAGAACAGCGUAACAGCAAAAUUGGGCAAUGAAAUAAAUUGUAUGGUAUCUUUGCAUACUCUGAUUCGCUGCAGUGGUAAACAAAAUCAUGAUUAAUCAACUGCAAUUGUCAUUUUAAUGCUAUCAUUGGCUUUCAAUUUCUCCUUUGAGCAUAUUUUAUGAGAUAGUGUGGUUCUACUUUCUUUGAUUACCAUAUAUUAUGAUGCUUUAAUAAAGAUUUGUCUGCUACAUUCUACACUCCUGGUUCACUCUCUUCAACACGGUAAGUCAAGUGCAUAAUUUACCAGCAUUAAGUCUUGUAUUUUUCCACCAAUGCCCUCUUUUAUCAUCCAGUUGUUUUUCUGAAUAUCUUACAUUGCUAAUCAAAAAUAUGGUAGACCAUGUAUUUUGGUGUUACAUUCAUUUUAAGUCAACCAGAGGAUGUUGGUUGGAAGGUGCAAUUUUCUAAAUUACUUUUCUCAGACAAGUUCUUAGUUACCUUACAAACACUAAAACUUGCAGUGCAACAGAUGAGUCAUUUGAAUUAAUUCACUCAAAUAAGUUCAACAAAGUAUCAUGAUCAAGAUAUUUAUGUUCUACCAAAGAAAAUUUCAUAUUUGUAAACAGUUAGUACAAAUUGAACUUAUUUUGUACUACUGUAGUCAACUUAUUAGCCCAUUACCUGUUGCAAGUGGUUGUAGUGUUUGUACUCUUCAGUGGAAUGGUUCCAUUUAUUCUUAAAGUGGUGAAAUAAUAUUAACUUAGGACUAUGAGUGGACACACCAAUGACCAGAUAGAAGUACUAUCUAAAUAUUUUCAUUUUUGGCCACGUUUUACAUUGUUCGGCUAGAACCUAAAGACAUAAAAAGUUGAAUGCCUUUUUUAAAGGGUUCUUCAAGAAUUGUGAAAAAUUCCUUUCUCCCAGAGCUCCAAUUGUAAGGAUUGUUAUGGUAUUUCUUUGCACAAUGUCUUCAAUCUUGAUGUUUCCUUCAAAAUUAAGUAUUUAUUUUCAGUUCCAUUUACUUAAUCACCAAUGUGGAAAGUCUCAAAACUAUAAGUGAUUUGAUUUUCUCCAUAAAAUUUACAUAGUACUGAUAAACCUGAUCAGAACAAAUACAAACGAACAAGAAGUAAUUUGGCAUCAGUACUUCAUGGGGCUUGGUGUGUUCAUCUCAUAGUCUGACUAAGGUGUUGCUUGAGUUAAAAGUACAACAAGAGAUAACAAAUGGUAUACUAAAACUAAGUUGAUUUCUGCCUGACUCUGAAAAGAGAUUUAUUUGUAAAAAUGAUUUCAAAUUGAAAAUGUUAUUUUACAAGUCAAACUGUAUGUUGCCAUGUUUCAGGCACUGGGAUGAUUAACUGAAAUAAUUGAAAAAAUUGCUUAGCUGUCUUUGGAAUUAAUUCACAUUAAGGUGGCUCAAUAGCAUUUUCUUGACACUACCUUUGGACUUUAACAAAUUGCAAAUACCCAGUUGGAAACAAUUUAUUGAAAGAAAUUCAAAUUGUGCAUGCUCGGUUGCAAACAAUUUAUUGAAAGGGAACCUUUUCAAACCAGAUUUAAGUUUUAUCAUAGUAAAAAGGAUUGGUCAGCAAAAAAUACCAUUUGUAACUCUUGCUGUAAUGCAGAAUAGACUGUAGAAUUGAGUAAACCAUGGUACAGUCCUGGGGUGCCAGGAUCAGCUGACUUUGAUGUCAUCCUAAAAGCAUAAUAUAACACACUAUGCUAUAGCUUGCCAUACACCAUGGUUGGCUGCAAUCCUGAAAAGUCUAUUAUUACAAGUACUGGUAAGGCUCAGUGUGGACAUGGAACUUUUCAUUGAUCAAAUAUUAAGUGUUGUGGUGAGGUAUCUAAAAUCGGUCAUCGAAAAUUGAGACUUGAGGAAUUUCAUAAAGCUCCAUGCAAUCAGUUUAAGGCAGCUUUUUUCAAAUUGAAAAAAAGUUCCAUGUCUUAGCUGGGCUGAAUUAUUGCUAUAUACUAGGCAUAGAACUGGUGUUCCCCAUCAUUAAAUUUUUCAAAAAAAAUCUAAAUUUCUCUAAUGAUCUCACUAAAAAUGUCACUUCGUAUUGGGAAUAUUUUUUGUUUUGGUACUACAAUUGGAUUUUGAAUUCUUCUUAGCAAAGUACAACACCAGUUUUAUGCCUUUUUUAGCAUCCAAUAUCAGUCUUUUAAUCAAGCAACACCUAUGUCUUUAGGAUCCUAAUCAAAAUCUCUGUCCCUGAGGUCAUCAGUUCGUCCUAUUCCAAACCCUUAAGGGUGGUCCUUAACACUUUGUUGAGGGCCAUUUUUUCUUAAGGGGAGGGUAGGUUUGAACUUUUGAUCUCAGGGACCUUCGUCUAAUUACCCUAGGGGCAAAAAAAAUCACAAAAAGACUUAGUAUAUAUUUUUUCAAAAUUUAUGGGGAUUUUUUACUUUUUUUCACAAUUUUUAAUUUUUUUUAUUGCCAAUUUGAAUUUUUUUAUUUUUUAAAGCCAAUUUGUUUUGUUUGUUUUUUUGAGCCAAUCCUUCUUACUUUCUCUAUGGAUACCAGACUUACCUUGUUCCUUGCUUGUGGGUGGCUGUCUUUUUGAUUGUCCAAUUUUUCAUCUGAGAACCUAGAUCUUACCUGGAUUUGAACCCUUACCUUCAUCUUGCCUCUUGUCCAUUAGCCUGUGCACUUGCGUUGUAUACUGUCAGUUUAUUUGUUGAAAGUGAUGGUAUUGAUGUACCUUAUAUCAUAGGGCUUUGUAAUGCCUUGAAUUAAUUACCAAAUAAAAUUCUUAUAAAUAA
rnacentral:lncRNA from 1 species